GCGUGUGAGGGCUGCGGGUGCGUCCCCGCUGCUGCCCGGGCUGCGGAGGGGAGAGCGCCUUGGCCGCUGGCCUGGCUCGUGGUUUCCCCUGGUGCGGAGGCGAGUUGUGCUUCCUGCUGGGAGAGAGAAGGGCCUUGGGAAGCUGCUCCAUGAGCCACAGCUGUGCCGAGCCCGGGAGUCUGUCCAGCAGGAUGUCGAGUGCCACCAUGUCCCCGAGGUCAACCUUUCUGCUGUUGGGAGAGCACGAGGUGGAUGGAGAGGAUCCACAGGCAUCUGCAGGCACAAGGGACUCGUACAACUGCGAUUUUCCUCCAGCCCUCGUGAGAAGGACUUUCAGGAUCCUGUUGGGAAUGUGCCAGUUCUCCUGCUGGAGCUUUUCUGUGGAAUAUUUGAACACAAAGAGUAAAACUAAAGUCAGGUUUGUUCUGGAGUAUGUUA